AUUGAACGCUGGCGGCAGGCCUAAAACAUGCAAGUCGAGCGGAGCGGCGGACGGGUGAGUAAUGCCUGGGAAUCUGCCUGGGAGUGGGGGAUAACGUCCGGAAACGGGCGCUAAUACCGCAUACCAGCAGAAGAGCCUAGGGCGGAUUAGGUAGUAGGUGGGGUAAAGGCCUACCAAGGCGACGAUCCGUAACUGGUCUGAGAGGAUGAUCAGUCACACUGGAACUGAGACACGGUCCAGACUCCUACGGGAGGCAGCAGUGGGGAAUAUUGGCCAAUGGGCGAAAGCCUGAUCCAGCCAUGCCGCGUGUGUGAAGAAGGUCUUCGGAUUGUAAAGCACUUUAAGUUGGGAGGCGUUACCAACAGAAUAAGCACCGGCUAACUUCGUGCCAGCAGCCGCGGUAAUUC
rnacentral:rRNA from 1 species